AAAAUAUAACGCUAAAGAGAGGGAGAUCAUCAGCAGCGGCGCUUCAGCAUAGAGGAAACCCCCCUGUCGUUCUCUUCUUCGAAAAAUACCCAAAACUUUUCAUCUUCUUUUAAAAGACAACACCAAAAACUUGCUAACUCCUCUCCAAACUAAUAGCCAUCAGCGAACCCCCACCCUUAGACGAAACGAACAGAAUGCUGAGAUUAAGAGCAGCUCCAUCUCUUUCAACCUAAGAAAAAUCAACUCCAAGCAAUAGUCAUGAAAUCUGCCCAAGAUCAGCCCCAAUAACCAGUAAAAAGCAACCACAAUAGCUCACUUUUAAUUUGUUUACUGCCAAGUUUCCGGCGGGCUAGAGGUAAGUCUGAAUUUGUCGAGGUUCGCAGGUUGCUGUGCGACCCUUGCUGCUGUUUUGUCACUCAGAUUUCUGAUUCAAAGUUUUGUAGCGGCCUUUUCACUUUUACUACUAUUAAAAGAAGAUUUGCUCUUCCUUAGGUAUUGAAUCAUGACUGCAAGUCUUUGGAUCUCUCCAAGUAUUGAGCUCAUUUGUUUUUUGUAAUAAAGUAUGGAUUUGUGCAUUAACAUGUGUUUGAUUUUCUCCAUGACUAUGUUUGUUUGGCUUGAAUCGAGAUCAAUAGAUUCUGUUCCUAAAGUAAUGAGUUAAUUGGGUAUUUAGCUUACAGUGGUACAACUGCUCUAGUUAUUCGGUUUGCCGUUGUUUACCAUGUAUAUUGUAUAUAUUUGAGAUGAGAGUUGAAUUGGAAAUGGC
rnacentral:lncRNA from 1 species